CAGUCGCCGCGGUAAUACGUAGGGUGCAAGCGUUAAUCGGAAUUACUGGGCGUAAAGCGCACGCAGGCGGUUUGUUAAGUCAGAUGUGAAAUCCCCGAGCUUAACUUGGGGACUGCAUUUGAAACUGGCAAGCUAGAGUCUCGUAGAGGGGGGUAGAAUUCCAGGUGUAGCGGUGAAAUGCGUAGAGAUCUGGAGGAAUACCGGUGGCGAAGGCGGCCCCCUGGACAAAGACUGACGCUCAGGUGCGAAAGCGUGGGGAGCAAACAGGAUUAGAUACCCGUGUAGUCCCUGUCUCUUAUAC
rnacentral:rRNA from 1 species